rnacentral:rRNA from 1 species
UACGUAGGGAGCGAGCGUUAUCCGGAUUUACUGGGUGUAAAGGGCGCGCAGGCGGGCCGGUAAGUUGGAAGUGAAAUCUAGGGGCUUAACCCCUAAACUGCUUUCAAAACUGCUGGUCUUGAGUGAUGGAGAGGCAGGCGGAAUUCCGUGUGUAGCGGUGAAAUGCGUAGAUAUACGGAGGAACACCAGUGGCGAAGGCGGCCUGCUGGACAUUAACUGACGCUGAGGCGCGAAAGCGUGGGGAGCAAACAGG